rnacentral:sRNA from 1 species
CGCCGCCGGAUAACAGGCGCAUCGUAUCUGGUUAUUAAGAGGUCCGGUCGAAACAUCACAUGAUGCCUCGGCUCUACCACAAAAGGGGUUCACGAAAGAACCCUGCAAAAAGGAGUAAUUCAACAUGGCUGAAGGCACAGUAAAGUGGUUUAACGAUGCGAAAGGUUUUGGUUUUAUCGAGCAGGAUGGCGGCAAGGAUGUGUUCGUGCACCAUUCGGCCAUCCAGGCUCAGGGCUUCAAGUCCCUGACCGAGGGUGCUCGCGUAUCCUUUGACGUUGUCGACGGCCCGAAAGGACCGGCGGCAGCCAACGUCGUCCAGCUCUAAGAGCCGGAUACGGUUGUUGUGGACCCCGCACCCUGGGUGCGGGGUUUUCU